rnacentral:rRNA from 1 species
GACGAACGCUGGCGGCGUGCUUAACACAUGCAAGUCGAACGGAAAGGCCCUGCUUUUGUGGGGUGCUCGAGUGGCGAACGGGUGAGUAACACGUGAGUAACCUGCCCUUGACUUUGGGAUAACUUCAGGAAACUGGGGCUAAUACCGGAUAGGAGCUCCUGCUGCAUGGUGGGGGUUGGAAAGUUUCGGCGGUUGGGGAUGGACUCGCGGCUUAUCAGCUUGUUGGUGGGGUAGUGGCUCACCAAGGCUUUGACGGGUAGCCGGCCUGAGAGGGUGACCGGCCACAUUGGGACUGAGAUACGGCCCAGACUCUUACGGGAGGCAGCAGUGGGGAAUAUUGCACGAUGGGCGGAAGCCUGAUGCAGCAACGCCGCGUGCGGGAUGACGGCCUUCGGGUUGUAAACCGCUUUCGCCUGUGACGAAGCGUGAGUGACGGUAAUGGGUAAAGAAGCACCGGCUAACUACGUG